GCUUACGGCCAUACCAGCCUGAAUACGCCCGAUCUCGUCUGAUCUCGGAAGCUAAGCAGGGUCGGGCCUGGUUAGUACUUGGAUGGGAGACCGCGUGGGAAUACCAGGUGCUGUAAGCU
rnacentral:rRNA from 1 species